UAGGUUGGUAGUGAAAGCCUGGGGGCUCAACCCCUUACACGUUAUCAAAACCGCAAAGCUAGAGGAUGAGAGAGGUUAUUGGAAUUCCCAGUGUAGGAGUGAAAUCCGUAGAUAUUGGGAGGAACACCGAUGGCGUAGGCAGAUAACUGGCUCAUUCCUGACACUAAGGCACGAAAGCGUGGGGAGCAAACGGGAUUAGAUACCCCGGUAGUCCACGCCGUAAACUAUGGAUGCUA
rnacentral:rRNA from 1 species